CUUCUAAAAUUUAGGCAGAUUCCCUAAAUUCUACUAAAAUUUAGAAGUCUUUUGUGAGUCUUCCAGACCCUAUAAUCAAAUAACUAAUAAAAAACACUUUCUUAAACUUUUAAGAAACUUAAAAAGUGUUUAAAUCAAGUUAUUAGAUAGUCACUAAACACAUAUAGGUAAAAAAAAAUUAAAAAAAAAAACAAAAGAUAAUAUUUUAAAAUCUAACC
rnacentral:lncRNA from 1 species